CCGCCCGUCACACCAUGAGAGUUGGUAAUACCAGAAGCACGUAUCUUAACCGUAAGGAGGGAGCGUACCAAGGUAGGAUUAGCGAUUAGGGUGAAGUCGUAACAAGGUAUCCGUACGGGAACGUGCGGAUGGAUCACCUCCUUUCUAUGGAGUAUUCGUAGAUUAAGAGAAAAAGCUGAGUGAAACGAUAAAACAGCUUAUGAUUAUAUCUCGUUCUAUCUAGUUUUCAGAGAUUGUUUUUGCGGGCCUUUUGGCCCAAACAAUUUCUGUAAAGAAAAUCGUUCUUUGAAAACUGAAUAUUAGAUGAAAAUAGACAUUUUAUUUUUCUUACGUUUAUAAACAAUAUAAAACGUAUUAGUAACUUAAUUUAGAUUAAUACUAAGAAAACUAAAAUUUCAUUAAUUUUAUAGAUUAUCUAUAUAUGCAAUAGGUUUUUCUUUAGAAAGUAUAGUAAGGGCGUAUGGUGAAUGCCUUGGAAAAUGGAGCCGAUGAAGGACGUGACUACCUGCGAAAAGUGCCGGGGAGCUGGAAGUAAGCUUUGAUCCGACAAUGUCCGAAUGGGGAAACCCAGCACGAUUAAUCUCGUGUUAUCCAUAACUGAAUACAUAGGUUAUGAGAAGGGAACCUUGGGAACUGAAACAUCUUAGUACCAAGAGGAAAAGAAAACGAAUGUGAUUCUGUAAGUAGCGGCGAGCGAAAGCGGAACAGGCCAAACCGGUCUACGGGCCGGGGUUGUAGGACUCAUGUUAGAGUUACAAAGUUAGUGUAUAGCAGAAGCUGUUGGGAAGCAGCGCCGCAGAGGGUGAUAGCCCCGUAUGCGAAAUGCACUAACCUCGAGUGAGUAUCCUGAGUACGGCGGGGCACGAGAAACCCUGUCGGAAUCUACCCAGACCACUGGGUAAGCCUAAAUACUACCAUUUUACCGAUAGUGAACCA
rnacentral:sRNA from 1 species